CAGCAGCCGCGGUAAUACAGAGGGUGCGAGCGUUAAUCGGAUUUACUGGGCGUAAAGCGUGCGUAGGCGGCUUUUUAAGUCGGAUGUGAAAUCCCUGUGCUUAACUUAGGAAUUGCAUUCGAUACUGGGAAGCUAGAGUAUGGGAGAGGAUGGUAGAAUUCCAGGUGUAGCGGUGAAAUGCGUAGAGAUCUGGAGGAAUACCGAUGGCGAAGGCAGCCAUCUGGCCUAAUACUGACGCUGAGGUACGAAAGCAUGGGGAGCAAACAGGAUUAGAUACCCCAGUAGUCCCUGUCUCUUAUAC
rnacentral:rRNA from 1 species